GACGAACGCUGGCGGCGUGCUUAACACAUGCAAGUCGAACGGAAAGGCCCUGCUUUUGUGGGGUGCUCGAGUGGCGAACGGGUGAGUAACACGUGAGUAACCUGCCCUUGACUUUGGGAUAACUUCAGGAAACUGGGGCUAAUACCGGAUAGGAGCUCCUGCUGCAUGGUGGGGGUUGGAAAGUUUCGGCGGUUGGGGAUAGACUCGCGGCUUAUCAGCUUGUUGGUGGGGUAGUGGCUUACCAAGGCUUUGACGGGUAGCCGGCCUGAGAGGGUGACCGGCCACAUUGGGACUGAGAGACGGCCCAGACUCCUACGGGGGGCAGCAGUGGGGAAUAUUGCACAAUGGGCGGAAGCCUGAUGCAGCAACGCCGCGUGCGGGAUGACGGCCUUCGGGUUGUAAACCGCUUUCGCCUGUGACGAAGCGUGAGUGGCGGUAAUGGGUAAAGAAGCACCGGCUAACUACGUG
rnacentral:rRNA from 1 species